rnacentral:tRNA from 3 species
GCCUCUGUAGCAGAAAUGGAUUAUGCACCAGACUAAGGAUCUGGGGGUCAAUGACACAUGUGGGUUCGACUCCCACCAGAGGUA